rnacentral:lncRNA from 1 species
GUGGAAUCACUGACAAAUUUUAUUUUCUUGGGCUCCAAAAUCACUGCGGAUGGUGGCUGCAGCCAUGAUAUUAAAAGAUGCUUGCUCCUUAGAAGGAAACCCACGAUAAAACUAGACAGUAUAUUAAAAAGUAGACAUCACUUUGCCAGCAAAGGUCUAUACAGUCAAAGCUAUGGUUUUCCCAGUAGUCAUGUACGGAUGUGAGAGUUGGACCAUAAAGAAGGUUGAGCGCCAAAAACUGGAUGCUUUCACAAUUGUGGUGCUGCAGACUAUUGAGUCCCUUGGACUGCAAGAAGAUCCAACCAGUCAUUUCUAAAGGAAAUCAACCCGAAUAUUCAUUGGAAAAACUGAUGCUGAAGCUACAAUACUUUGGCCGCCUGAUGCAAACAGCUGACUCACUGGAAAAGACCCUGAUGCUGGGGAAGAUUGAAGGCAGGAGGAGAAGGGGGCAUCAGAGGAAGAGAUGAUUAGACAGCAUCACUGACUCAAUGGACGAGUUUGAGCAAACUCCAGGAGAUGGUGAAGGACAGGGAAGCCUUAUAUGCUGCAGUCCAUGGGGUCACAAAGAGUUGGACACAACUUAGUCACUGAACAGGGCUUCCCUGGUGGCUCAGAUGGUAAAGAAUCCAACUGCAUGUGGGGAGACCUGGGUUCAGUCCCUGGAUUGGGAAGAUCCCCUGGAGAAGGGAAUGGCUACCCACUUCAGUAUACUGUCCUAGAGAAUUCCAUGGACAGAGGAGCCUGGCAGGCUACAGUCCAUGGGGGUCACAAAGAGUUGGACAUGACUAAGCCAUUUUCACUUCACUAGCCACUGAACAACUGCACGCCUGGCCCUACUGCAGAGGUGCCUGCAAGGGGCGCUGGCUGGAGUGAAUGGCCACUACUUCCCCAGUGACCAGCAGGGUGGUGGAUCCUACCCAGCUCUCUUAGCUCCUGGGCAAGAAAAAUCUCAGGUGUGCUUUCAACAGGGGACAGAGCGCCAGGUGCCAGCAGAUGUGCUGGGUUUAGCCACCCCUGCCUUCUCAGCCUCUUUCUCCUCCUACUUUGAUCUCUUUCUAUAGGCUCCUCCUGGGUUCCCUCCCAAAUAAAGAGCUUGAACUCAGAUUCUUGUGAGGUGGG